GUAAGGGGGACAGCAGCCGAAGGGGAAGGAGUGCCUCCGAGAGCUCUGCAGAGAAGCUGGGUGAGCAGCCCAAAGGCGGGAACUACAGAAGCUGUGGAGGGACGGCAGCUGCACCACAGCAAGGACUGUAGGGAACUGAAGCACGAACCCGGCGAAUAUCUUAGUUUGAAGGAAACAACUAGUUCUGAACGUCUAUCAGAAAGGAUUGACUCCUUCUGGUUGUCCUGGGAAAUCUGGCUGGAAUUUUCUUUGUCACUGGAUGGAGAGUCACAGACACCAU